rnacentral:rRNA from 1 species
AUGAUGGAGCAACCAAACCAAUGGCUUACGCAGACGGAACAGGAGGAGCUAGCUUACAUGUACCAGGAAGAAGGGGGUCCAGUACCUGUACCCGGUAGGGGGCAGCAGUUUGCAGAGCCACCGCUACCUGGCCGUGAAGCGCAGUGCUACACGCCGCCGAUGGCAAUCCCGACGUUCAAUCCAUCUCGCAGCUCCAAUUUCCCGAGCUUUGGGGGCUCGUCGUCAUUGCCGAGCUUACCAUUCGGAUCGGCAAUGGUGAAGAACGAGCUGGGGCAACCGUCUCCGCCGCCAUCAUCCAACUUCCUCUCCGUCGGAGCUGGCCAGGCUAGCACCCUGAGCUUCUCCGGCUGGCAGAGCAAUGGAGUCCAAGGGAUGAUGCAGCAGCUGCAGGCGCCGGAGAGGUUGGGCAGGGCGCCGCAAGAGCACGUCAUCGCCGAGCGCAAGCGGCGGGAGAAGCUGCAGCAGCAGUUCGUGUCCUUGGCCACCAUCGUCCCCGGACUCAAAAAGACUGACAAGCUCUCUCUACUGGGGAGUACCAUCGACUACGUGAAGCAGCUGGAGGAGAAGGUGCAGGCCCUAGAGCAAGGCUCACGGAGGUCGUCAGAGUCCAUGGUGUUCGAUAGCAAAUGCAACAUAUCCCUCCCGACAACGAUGCAGCAGGCCCCAGCGGGAGCGGCUCCAGGUCCGGGUACUCGAGCCCAGACAUUGAGGCCAGCAUCCGAGGGAACACGGCACUACUGA